UAGGCAGAUGCCAAGAUACCGGACGCACAAGCAGGACACGAAAAAACAAUAACAUCACUAUUACCAGCAAUGGCAGGCGCCAACACACUAUACGGAGCCG
rfam:Euryarchaeota archaeon AMET1 AMET1_2, whole genome shotgun sequence.